UCUCUCUCUCUCUCUGACAAUUCCUCCUCAUCCUUAUUCCAUUACCUUCUACCAAUUUAGGGAGCCAGUGUUACUGAUGUGGGAGGUGGAGAAAGGAAAAUGAAAACAAGAUUACGUUGACCAGGAUCAGGGCAUAUGAACAAUUUCUGUUUUCCAGGCAGAGGAAAUACCAAGUACCAAGGUCCUGUGGCCCCUUGGAGGCUCCCAUUCCCUCCACGCUCUGCUUUCCCAGAGACUAACUCUGCAAACAAGCCAUUGCCAUCGCCGCCGCCGUCGUCACCAAAAAAGACCUUGAGAAACCACUAGGUGAUCGGCGAUGUGUUGCCCAGCCCAAGGUCACCUUGGAUUUUCAUCACGACUGCCAUGCUUUUCUUCUCAUUAAAAUAUUUGACAAGGAGUCUUUGCAUGGAUGAGCAGGUCCAAGCACCCCAGCCCCACACUGUUCUCACAAAGAUGUUGCACUGUCAUAGUAACUAAUUGUGCUGCCACCUGCAAAUCAAUAUCUGUGUUACACACACAUUGACACUGAAAUCUGGUGUUUGUACAGGUACCAUGCUGCAGAUUCUGCAUGACUUCUUGAUGAAAUAACGUACAUUUCCUUCCCUUUAGGGUACUUACGAGUGACUUAAAAAGUAGGGUUUAUGUCUUUAUUUAUUUCUGGGUCUCUGCCACACCUGGCCAAGAGCUGUUUGAUCACAGCGGAUAGCUGAAAAUGCUUAUUGGAUCGGACAGUGGUGUUGGAAUUGCAAGAAGAUGAAUACGUCCCAAGACUAAGAAGUUGUAUACAGGAGGAGGUUAGUGUUACAGGUGAGAAAACGAAUGGUCCGGGUAUGCCUGGGACUGAGGCGGUGCCCAGGGCACAGGACUUCCAGGACCAAAACUACAAAGUCACACGCUGGGACACGAGAUGACAUCCUGAAGUCGAAUCCCGGUUCCAUCACUUAUCAACUACAGGACCCCGUUUUUAAUUUGCGAAAGGCAAAUAACAACACGCUUGUUCCAACGGGCUUUGGAAAUCAAUACACUAAUACGUAUAAAGCACUUAGGACUAUCCAAGAUCAUAGUAUACACACUGGGUAUAUACGUGUACAAAACUAUCUAUUACUAUUGGUUGACAAAUAGUAAAUUAUUACAAUGAUGCCUCACCAGAACGUCUCCUAUCAGAGCCCAGAAGAUGCUUCUGUGAAUAUUUUUUCUCAGCAUUUAUAAGCCUUUUCAAAAUACUGCAUUUUACAAAACUUACCACAGUACAGCUUUUGUUCCAAAACAAUAUUUCGAAACAGAACGCACCAACCUUUGCAGAUAGGAGCAAAUAACAAGUCCAAUUGGAAAUCCCUUUGUAUAAUGUUACAACGUAACAGACUGAAACAUUUGUAGGUAGAGGCAAGUGUUUUGAGAUGAGCUAUGUGAUUCUACUUUUUAGACAGCAGUUGUAGUAUCUGACCCUCUCCCUCCAAACACACACACACACACACACACACACACACCCCAACAGGGUAACACACUAUCAAUUGUUUUUGUACUAGGAACUUGAGGAUUCCCCAAAAUCAUCCAAAGGAAAAGAAAGGGAAAGGGGGGAGGUGCUGGAAGAGUCUCUUCUACCUAAAUAGGUACCAUCGAAAGGCCACUGCAGCGCCGCACUCUUUGUUUCUCCCUUCUCUCGAUGGAAGUGUUCCUUACCCCCAACUUCAUGGACAAGCUUAAAUCAACAUGUAAAUAUUUUGCCCUCACUAGGACCGGAUUUCUUCAUCCGAGUACCCAGAAGUCUUUGGUCCGCACGUGGAAGACCACAGACGCCUUACCAUCUUACAGGAAAACCAGGGCAUGUCCGGAAAACUACCCCAUGAAGGAAUCAUCAGGGUCUGUCGAGCAAAGGCUGGCGGGAUCUCGGGCCUAGCGUUUCCCUGAGCCGCUGCGGCCCGCGGGCUGUUAGCCUGGACUAGCCUUUAAGUGGGUCGCAGCUACGUGAGCUCAGGUCACUGGGAGGAAAAGAAGAAAUGUGGUCAGUGGCCUGGCUGUUUUGCCUGUGUUGUCAAGCAUGUCGGUGUUGGAGGAUGUCUGUGUGACUGAGUUCUGACCUGUUAUACAGGCCUGAACCCUUUUUCUUCUUCCUCGGGCCAUCAGAUCCACUCAGGCUAAAGGUGAUCGCAAACUUGCUUAUAAAAUCCGGAAAAGACUACAACAAAGGGAUACCAUCCAAGGUUGCGUAGCAUAGACGACGGUGUCGGUUCUCGAACUUGGCGAUAGCCCAGGAGGCUUUGAAAAAUCCUGUUGUCCAGGCCGCAUCCCGGACCAACUAAAUCAGAACCUCCAGAGAUGGGAUCCGGGCCACAGUUAACAGCAAAGCUCCCCAGGUGACUCCUAAGUGCAACCAAGCUUGAAAGCUGUUGGCACAGAGCAGUGCUUGGCAAACUGUGAGGGCACAAACACAGCCCGUGAGGAUCUUGCUGGAAGGCCAGUUCGAAUUCAGAGAGUCUGUGCCGGCCCCUCAGCUGCUGCCUUUCUUACUGGCUCCCGAGCGAGGCUGAUGUCACUGGUCCAGGGACCUCACUUUGAGUAGCGAGAGCGUAAUGUGUCGAGAAGAAAACUUAAUGUGAGGAAAUCUCCGAAUGUUUGCUCUGGCGUCUUUUGGCUGUAGGAUUAUCAACCAGCCUCGUUUUCGGGGACUCUCCCGGGUGUGGCAUUUGAAAGUCCCAUGUCCUGGCCGAACCGAGACCGUACGUGCGUGAUCCUGGGAAGUCCGAUAAAGCCUUUGAGCCUGGUGAGGUCGCUGUGCGAAGUGAUGUGUGUGCGGAUGUCUGCCGAAGUAACCCGGCACAGAGGAGGAGUCCAAAAAGUGUUUGAUAGUUGAAAGACAAGAUAAUCGUUUGCAAACUCAAAAGGUGAGCUACCCCUUUAUAUCAGAAUGGCUAAUCAGAAAAUGCCAGCGUUGUCCAGAAUGUGGAGAAGUGGGGACUCUCACGCACUGUGGAUAGAGGUCCAAUUGGUGGAACCACUUAGAAAAAACUGCUCAGCACAAUGUACUCACCCCAAGCAUAUGGACCCCCUAUGGCCCAGAGGUUUCCAUCCUAGGCCUUAUGUACCCAAGAGAAAUGCAUGAAUGAUGUUCACCAAAAGAUACAGGGAGCAGCUUUAUUUAUGAUAGUAAGAAAUUAGAAACAACUCCAGGGGCGCCUGGGUGGCUCAGUCGGUUAAACGUCCGACUUCAGCUCAGGUCACGAUCUCGCGGUCCGCGAGUUCAAGCCCCACGUCGGGCUCUGGGCUGAUGGCUCAGAGCC